rnacentral:pre_miRNA from 1 species
AUAAUACUCCCUCCAUUCAGAAUUACUUGUCAUCAAAAUGGAUGUGUCUAGAACUAAAAUACAUCUAGAUACAUCCAUUUCAAUGACAAGUAUUUUUGGACGGAGGGAGUAGUAG